UACGGAGGGUGCAAGCGUUAUCCGGAUUCACUGGGUUUAAAGGGUGCGUAGGUGGGCAGGUAAGUCAGUGGUGAAAUCUCCGGGCUUAACCCGGAACUGCCGUUGAUACUAUUUGUCUUGAAUAUAGUGGAGGUGAGCGGAAUAUGUCAUGUAGCGGUGAAAUGCUUAGAUAUGACAUAGAACACCAAUUGCGAAGGCAGCUCACUAAGUCAUAACUGACGCUGAUGCACGAAAGCGUGGGGAGCAAACAGG
rnacentral:rRNA from 1 species